UGUUCCAGUGCUUCCUAUAAAUAGAGGAGGCGCUGGUGUUUCGCGACGUCCUUUAGCGCGUGGUCUGGCGUGGUUCUGCUCGUGCGCUCGCGAGUGCAUUCGGAUUUUGGUUAAGAACGCAGUAGGCCUACGACUGCGACUGUCAGGUUAGUACAGGCCGGUACUCGACGUCAACAUAGAGAUACGCCGAUAUUUUCCGCGGACAACACGCUCUGUUCGAACGCUGAGCCGAGUAGCACGGCCGACCCCGCUGAGUCGAACUCCGGUGCCAUGGAUCUCACGAGCGUCUUGGCUGCCCUGGAUCCCAUUAUGGUGAAACACUGCGGAGCGGGCCAUUGUACGGCGUUUUACAAGGUCAUUAAGGAUGGCCGAGAGCUCUGGAGGGCUCAAGUUCCUGUGCUGUGGCCCCACGAAAUGUCUGUCGAUGCCUUGGCGCUGUCCAAGAGAGAGUCGCUGUUGAUGGCAAGGGCCCGCGUGUGCUCAACUCUGCAGG